rnacentral:rRNA from 1 species
UACGGGGGGGGCAAGCGUUGUUCGGAAUUACUGGGCGUAAAGGGCUCGUAGGCGGCCAACUAAGUCAGACGUGAAAUCCCUCGGCUUAACCGGGGAACUGCGUCUGAUACUGGAUGGCUUGAGGUUGGGAGAGGGAUGCGGAAUUCCAGGUGUAGCGGUGAAAUGCGUAGAUAUCUGGAGGAACCCCGGGUGCGAAGGCGGCAUCCUGGACCAAUUCUGACGCUGAGUGAGCGAAAGCCAGGGGAGCAAACGGG